rnacentral:rRNA from 1 species
ACCGCGGUUAUACGAGAGGCCCAAAUUGAUGAAAAACGGCGUAAAGCGUGGUUAAGAAAAAAAGAGAAAAUAUGGCCGAACAGCUUCAAAGCAGUUAUACGCAUCCGAAGUCACGAAGAACAAUCACGAAAGUUGCCCUAAAACCUCCGAUUCCACGAAAGCCAUAAA